CAGUCGCCACGGGAAUACAGAGGGUGCAAGCGUUAAUCGGAGUUACUGGGCGUAAAGGGCGCGUAGGCGGUUAUAUAAGUGAGAUGUGAAAUCCCUGGGCUUAACCUAGGGACUGCAUCUUAUACUGUAUGGCUAGAGUAUUGUAGAGGGUAGUGGAAUUUCCGGUGUAGCGGUGAAAUGCGUAGAGAUCGGAAGGAACACCAGUGGCGAAGGCGGCUACCUGGACAAAUACUGACGCUGAGGCGCGAAAGCGUGGGGAGCAAACAGGAUUAGAUACCCCCGUAGUCCCUGUCUCUUAUAA
rnacentral:rRNA from 1 species